AUUGAACGCUGGCGGCAUGCCUUACACAUGCAAGUCGAACGGUAACAGGUCUUCGGAUGCUGACGAGUGGCGAACGGGUGAGUAAUACAUCGGAACGUGCCUAGUAGUGGGGGAUAACUACUCGAAAGAGUGGCUAAUACCGCAUGAGAUCUACGGAUGAAAGCAGGGGAUCGAAAGACCUUGUGCUACUAGAGCGGCUGAUGGCAGAUGAGGUAGUUGGUGGGAUAAAAGCUUACCAAGCCGACGAUCUGUAGCUGGUCUGAGAGGACGAUCAGCCACACUGGGACUGAGACACGGCCCAGACUCCUACGGGAGGCAGCAGUGGGGAAUUUUGGACAAUGGGCGAAAGCCUGAUCCAGCAAUGCCGCGUGCAGGAUGAAGGCCUUCGGGUUGUAAACUGCUCUUGUACGGAACGAAAAGCCCUGGGUUAGUACCCUGGGGUCAUGACGGUACCGUAAGAAUAAGCACCGGCUAACUACGUGCCAGCCGCCGCAGUAAAAC
rnacentral:rRNA from 1 species